CAGGGGAUGACUUUUAAAAUCCUAAAGUCCAUCUAAAUUAAGCAGUGAAACGGGUCAGGUCAAAUGCACAUAAAUCGCCCACCACUUAGCCUCUGCAAUACGGCCUUUCUAAAGGAUCUCACAAAAUGCUGAUCCUAUACAGUGAAAUUCCGGACUCAAUCGCAUUACGUGUUGUGCAGAAGUGCUUGAGCGGGUUCCAAAAGCAACCGUCUUUCUUGCAGCCCACUAACUCCGUUUUCCCUUAAGGAGGCUAUUUUUGUAUUCAGAGAGGAAAUAAUGGUGCAAGAAAGGGAUCCGGCCAAUGGGUGGUUUGCUUGACGGCUUUCUGGCAUCUGGAGGGCUGGCUCGGGUGAUUGCAACGUGAUGUCCCCGGACGCGCUGCAGGACGCCCACCUACCUCCUGAACGAUAUGUGUCCUUUGACCUCGCUGCAAAGAUCCUUCCGGAGCUACGAUGACCCAUUGCUUUCCCUAGGUUUCUCUUUCACAUUUCAAAGGUAGAAUUUCCAGCCUCUCCUUUGGGAAACUCAUCUUACAAAUUUCCAUUAGCUUUGGACUCAAAACGCACCCGUGUUGUCCCCAAAGUGAGCCUUGGACCAAGAGCUGCCACGUAGACAUUUAUUAAGCAGCAUAGUUGUUAGCAGUGGACACAAAACAGAAUAAAGCCAUUCGUAUAAAACUCUUCCGUGAA